GAUGGCUCAGUCAGUAGAGCAUGAGACUCUUAAUCUCAGGAUCAUGGGUUUAAGCAAAAAGAUUCCUGCAUUGCA